AUAUCUAUCUGCUUGUUGAUGUGUGUGAAGCUAUCAUGGGGUUACUCUCUUGCUCUUCUUGUAUUGUUAUUAGCUUCAAGCAUGUUUUGUUUUGGUUGUUUACUGAAUGUCUGAUAUGGUGAAAGUUUGUGUUUUUCUAUAAUGUUUUAUUCCCAAAGCAUUAGAACAAAUAGCUUUAUAGUUUCUUGUUUGUGGGUUUAUCAAAAGAUUCAAUCUUUUUAUGAUUUACUGUCUUUUUUUUUGUGUUCAAUAAAUAUAUCUGUUUGAUGAUGUGUGUGAAGCUAGGUUACUCGCUUAUACUCUUCUUGUAUUGUUAAUAGCUUCAAGCAUGUUUUGUUUUGGUUGUUUACUGAAUGUCUGAUAUGGUGAAAGUUUGUGUUUGUGUUUUCUGUAAUGUUUCUAUUCCCAAAGCAUCAGAACAAAUAACUUUAUAGUUUCUUGUUUGUGGGUUAAUCCAAAAGAUUCAAUCUUUUUGUGAUUUAGUGUUUUUUUUUUGUUCAAUAAAUGUAUUUGUGGGGA
rnacentral:lncRNA from 1 species